UUCCGCGUUAAUCUCGUUAAGACAGGGAAAAUAGCGGAAUCAGAACGUUGCCUGAUGGCACACACGCAGCAAUGGCGUAAGACGUAGCGUGAAAUCAAGCAAUUAGCGGGCUGCGGGUCGCAGCCUGGCCGGCAUAAUGGAAUGAGAUCUGUCGACGUAACUGAGAGGCUAUUCCCCUACAAAGAGCGCUGCUUUUCACAAAGAAAGGCAGGCUUACCGAAGUAAUGCGCCCCUAUGCAGGCGACAACCGGGAGGUUGACGGCUUUGCGAGAAGACACGGGGCCAACGGUAACACCGGUCAGGAGGUUAUUUUGCCCGCAGCUUUAUCGACA
rnacentral:ncRNA from 1 species